rnacentral:rRNA from 1 species
CUUCCGUAGGUGAACCUGCGGAAGGAUCAUUACAGAGAACAUCCCUAGAGGAUGGAGCUCCCCACCCUUGUGUAUUAUUACUUUGUUGCUUUGGCGAGCUGCCUUCGGGCCUCAAGCUUUCGAGCUUGGGCGCGCUCGCCAGAGGAUAUCAAAACUCUUUUUAUUAAUGUCGUCUGAGUACUAUAUAAUAGUUAAAACUUUCAACAACGGAUCUCUUGGUUCUGGCAUCGAUGAAGAACGCAGCGAAAUGCGAUAAGUAAUGUGAAUUGCAGAAUUCAGUGAAUCAUCGAAUCUUUGAACGCACAUUGCGCCCCUUGGUAUUCCGGGGGGCAUGCCUGUUCGAGCGUCAUUUCAACCCUCAAGCACUGCUUGGUAUUGAGCCCAUGUCAGCAAUGGCAGGCUCUAAAAUCAGUGGCGGCGCCGUUGGGUCCUGAACGUAGUAAUAUCUCUCGUUACAGGUUCUCAGCGUGCUUCUGCCAACAACCCCAAAUUUUCUAUGGUUGACCUCGGAUCAGGUAGGGAUACCCGCUGAACUUAAGCAUAUCAAUAAGCGGAGGAA